AAACUCGCUUAAACAACGAUUAUAAACGUCGGAGAUGAAUUACGCUCUCUUUGAAUAAGCCAAGGUGUUGAUAUAUAAAAGGACUGAGAGACGACUGUUGCACAGUGCACAUGCACAAUGUUUUAUUCUACUUAAUCUUCGUUUCUAGAAAUUUAAUCGACAAAAUGGACCUAAUAACAACAACUUUUGCCACGUUGACUCUUUAUCUCAUACUCGCCCCCGAUAGAAUUUUCACUGCUGCUGACGAAACCACCAAGUCUGAAGAACCGACGAAAUGUGGCAAAAAUGAAGAGUACACGACGUGCAAUCUUUGUCCAAAAAAUUGCGAAAAUCCCUUUCAAGAAAUUUGCUCGCCAGGGCCUUGCAUAAAGACUUGUAAAUGUAAAUCGGGAUACUACAAGGACAGUGGGGGCGUGUGCGUGUCUAUCAUAGCUUGCAUCGUCGAUAAUAUCAGAAAUCGAAGUGAGUAAUCAUCGAUAUACGCAGAAUAUACAGAAAUGUGUCAAAUGUCCAAGAUACGAUUCUCGUUAUAUUUGUUCUACAGGUAACAGAGCGAAGCGAUCCUUCCUCGACAAAUACGUCAUAGCCAAGGUGCUAAAAUUGAACAGGUGUUUAUCCAUGUUUGGAAGGAGGAAGUUUAAAGAGAAUAAGUAAAACGAGAAUUACGCGUAUUGUGUACGAUAUUCGGGAAGAAAAAUAAAUAUUUAUCUGCUGUUA